GCCAGACUCCUACGGGAGGCAGCAGUGGGGAAUAUUGCACAAUGGGCGCAAGCCUGAUGCAGCCAUGCCGCGUGUGUGAAGAAGGCCUUCGGGUUGUAAAGCACUUUCAGCGGGGAGGAAGGCGUUAAGGUUAAUAACCUUGGCGAUUGACGUUACCCGCAGAAGAAGCACCGGCUAACUCCGUGCCAGCAGCCGCGGUAAUACGGAGGGUGCAAGCGUUAAUCGGAAUUACUGGGCGUAAAGCGCACGCAGGCGGUCUGUCAAGUCGGAUGUGAAAUCCCCGGGCUCAACCUGGGAACUGCAUUCGAAACUGGCAGGCUAGAGUCUUGUAGAGGGGGGUAGAAUUCCAGGUGUAGCGGUGAAAUGCGUAGAGAUCUGGAGGAAUACCGGUGGCGAAGGCGGCCCCCUGGGACGCAACUGACGCUCAUACACGAAAGCGUGGGGAGCAAACAGGAUUAGAUACCCCGGUA
rnacentral:rRNA from 1 species